CCUUGCUGUGGCUGUGGAGAGAGAAUGGUUCUCAGCUUCUGCCUGGAUGCUCUCUCAACUCUCUUAACCAAGAACAUGAUGUUCUUUUCAUGUGCUGUGUGGACUUGUGAGAUGCUUCAGCAGGCGAUGGCAUUUGGCUCUAGCAUUGCAAAAAAGAAGGACUCACUCAGAGGAGGGUACAAAGACGAGAUUAAGCUAAAGGGGACAAUGCUGCUUUAUUUAUAGCUUAAGGAAGUGAAAGUCAGUCUGCGCUCUGGCUCACCGUUGCUACACACUCAGCCACCCGAGGAUCCUCUAUGCCUCUCCUCCCCUCUGCUGGCCCUGGCAAGCCAGUCCCCUGCCACAGCACAGCCAACAGCAAGAGCUCAACUACUCUAUACAACAGACUGCUGUGAGAAGAGAAUCAUGGUGGAGAGGAAUGUGGGGUUUGAAAGGGUCUUGUUUUCCUAAGUGCUUCUAUGUUUUG
rnacentral:lncRNA from 1 species